CGGAGCUUGGCAUCCUCAGUGGCCUGGAGCUCAUCCUCCAGCUCUUCCAGCUGGGUCCUCAUUUCUUCCACCUGCUGCUCCAAGGCCCGCUUGGAUUUCUCAAGCUCGUGGACCUAAGACACAGAAAGCAUCAGAACUGGGUUGUGUCUACUCUGGCUAGCCUCUUCGUGGUUAUGGAGCUGGUAUGCAGAAGGCCCAGCAGGACUACGGUGGUCUUCUAUCAUCCACAGUGUGGUCAGAUGGCCCACACCCAACGCAGAUGACACCUGCUCUUUAUUUACAGUAGGUUUCAUACUUUUCAAAACCAACAAAAGGAUGGAAGCUGGGAGAAGAGCCAGGCUGGCUUUGACCCACUCUGUGACUCUCUGCCAGUCAGGCACUGAGGGAGGGCACAUGGCAAGGAACAAGCAUAAGUGAUCUUGGGGAAGGCACACAUGGGAAAAACACACAAAAACUUGUCAGCUGUAAGUCCUGACACUGCAGAUGCCCUGGAGACAAGCACUCAGGCUUCAGAGGGAAGGCCAGGUGGUAGUAGGGAAAUGAACUUCAGUGCCCACCAACCUCCAUCUCCUAGGGGGCCCUGGAAUGUUUGACAGCUACUGGUGAUGCAGAUGUGAAAUCCCCUUGUUGAAGGAUGCCUCUGCCAGGAUGGAUUGGGGCAGGGAGGGCCAGGGCGAGGAUAAACAUCUGGACACCUGCUAGGGUUGCUGCAAGAAUUCCACAUCUGGGGGGCUGGAAAGAUGGCUUCAGCAAUAAAGAACACUGAUUGAUUGCUCUUA